UUACGUCAUCCCCACCUUCCUCCGAGUUGACCCCGGCAGUCUCCUAUGAGUCCCCACCAUCACGUGCUGGCAACACAGAACGAGGGUUGCGCUCGUUGCGGGACUUAACCCUACAUCUCACGACACGAGCUGACGACAACCAUGCACCACCUGUAAACCGACCGCAAGCGGGGCACCUGUUUCCAGGCGUUUCCGGUUCAUGUCAAGCCUUGGUAAGGUUCUUCGCGUUGCAUCGAAUUAAUCCGCAUGCUCCGCCGCUUGUGCGGGCCCCCGUCAAUUCCUUUGAGUUUUAGCCUUGCGGCCGCAGUCCCCAGG
rnacentral:misc_RNA from 1 species